AUGGUUUUCUGUUUUAUAGGGAUCGUUUCAAUUGCACCAAACCAUGAGAGCUACUAUGGGGCCAACCAGCCCAACCCUUCUGAACCUGUGCAGAAUUCUUGCUUGAAGGGAUAAAUGGACUUCUUUCGGACACCAGGUUUCAGAUAUGGCAUUCAGGUUUGCAGGAAUUGUGAUUGAAGGUCGUUGUUUCAAACGGAGAUAGUUUGUUUGUUCAAGCCCAC
rnacentral:lncRNA from 1 species